UCAUCCACAGCACUCAUGCUAUUUAUAUUCAUUAUCUGAUUUGCAUGAACCUAUCAGAGGGCUGGGGAGGCGGAGUCAGCAGCUACCCGAGGCUUGUCAGGAGGAGGAGGGAGGAGUCAGAUGGGAAGCAGAGAGAGUGAGCCUGAAGGGGAGGUCAGUCUGUGGUCCUUAGAGAGGGUGGCAGAGUUAGGGGUUAAGAGUGUGGAACUUACGGAGAGCGAAAAGAGUUAAGAGUGAAACAAGUUAUUAAUAAUCUAAUGAAUGCAUUAAAGUCUGUGAAGAACCCGUUUAAGCCAACUGUAAUCCAUAAACCUCUGUUGUUCAACUUUAUCCUCAGCUUGGACCUCAAUCUUUCUAAUUAAAGGGUGUCGACAGAGGUCAGCGGGUGGCAGCGAGAUAAAGGACGUGUGAGCUCUGUGUUGGGUGAAACAAGCAGGGGCCAUAUGAUGAAGAACAGGAGAGGAAGAAUUGCCCAGCAACAUCUGGGGCAACCUGGGCAGGAACUCAUGAUCAAGCAAGAAAACAGAGAACUGAAAAUAGGAAUGACCAGGCAUGGACUUCACAUGAAAGGAAUAAAGCAGGGGAGAAACCACGUAAACGCAUGUCACCUCAGUAGGCAUCAAAGAACACAUGAAGGCGAGAAACUGUAUGCAGGGGAGAAUAUUCUCUGUGGCCGGCAUCUUCAGAGGACAGCACUCUGUGCUCUGGUGUAGUUAGCUAGGCACUCCCUAGAUGGAGGAUCUUCGUUGGACUGUGAGUUUUUCAGCCCAUUGUAACGCAUUAAACGUUUUUUAAUGCGUUUCAAUUUGCUUUAUUUUACCGCUUUACGAUGUUUUUACUCUACAGCUAUUUUACUGAAACGAAUUAACAUCCUUAAGUGAGGCACCACUGUAUUCGCAAUUUUGAUUAGCAUCCCCUGCAUCCCCAAUCCACAUCAUUAAUAAAAAUGUUGAAAAGCACCGGGCA
rnacentral:lncRNA from 1 species